AGUGGAUGGGGAGCAACCUAGUUGUGCGUGUGUAAAGGUAGUGCCAAGAAAAGCGAUGAUCAUGUUGAAAAUCAAUUCCCGGUACCCGAAACCGACACAGGUGGGCAAGUAGAGAAUACUAAGGGGCGCGAGGUAACUCUCUCCAAGGAACUCGGCAAAAUGACCCCGUAACUUAGGGAGAAGGGGUGCCACCGAGAGGUGGUCGCAGUGAAGAGGCCCAGGCGACUGUUUAGCAAAAACAUAGGUCUCUGCAAACUCGAAAGAGGAGGUAUAGGGGCUGACGCCUGCCCAGUGCCGGAAGGUUAAAGAAGUUGGUCAGUUUUAGGAUGAAGCUAGCGACUGAAGCCCCGGUGAACGGCGGCCGUAACUAUAACGGUCCUAAGGUAGCGAAAUUCCUUGUCGGGUAAGUUCCGACCCGCACGAAAGGCGUAACGAUCUGGGCGCUGUCUCGGAGAGAGGCUCGGCGAAAUAGGAUUGUCUGUGAAGAUACGGACUACCUGCAUUUGGACAGAAAGACCCUAUGAAGCUUUACUAUAGCUUGGAAUUGUGUUCGGGCUUCCUGUGCGCAGGAUAGGUGGGAGGCGUAGAAGGUAUUCUUGUGGGGAUACUGGAGCCAACGGUGAGAUACCACUCUCAGGAGGCUAGAAUUCUAACUUAAUUAAGGACAGUUUCAGGUGCUAGUUUGACUGGGGCGGUCGCCUCCAAAAAGGUAACGGAGGCGUACAAAGGUUCCCUCAGACUGGUUGGAAAUCAGUCGAAGAGUGCAAAGGCAGAAGGGAGCUUGACUGCGAGAAGUACAGUUCGAGCAGGGUGGAAACACGGUCUUAGUGAUCCGACGGUGCUGUGUGGAAGGGCCGUCGCUCAACGGAUAAAAGUUACUCUAAGGAUAACAGGCUGAUCUCCCCCAAGAGUUCACAUCGACGGGGAGGUUUGGCACCUCGAUGUCGGCUCAUCGCAACCUGGGGCGGAAGUACGUCCCAAGGGUUGGGCUGUUCGCCCAUUAAAGCGGUACGUGAGCUGGGUUCAGAACGUCGUGAGACAGUUCGGUCCAUAUCCGAUGUAGGCGUGAGAAUAUUGAGAGGAGCCUUCCUUAGUACGAGAGGACCGGGAAGGACGCACCGCUGGUGUACCUGUUAUGAUGCCAAUUGUAAACGCAGGGUAGCCAAGUGCGGAGAGGAUAACCGCUGAAAGCAUCUAAGUGGGAAGCCCACCUCAAGAUGAGUAUUCUGGUGUAAGGUCACGGGAAGACGACCCGUAAAUAGGCACGAGGUGGAAGUGCAGAGAUGUAUGAAGCCGAAGUGUACUAAUAGACCGUCGGCUUGAC
rnacentral:rRNA from 1 species